rnacentral:sRNA from 1 species
UUUAUGAGUCGUAAGUGCCUUCACUUGC